GGGAUCAUCGACCAUCAAGAUGGUUCCUGUGAGUCUCAUCAUUCACCAGUGACACCUAACAGCAUGUAGUGGCUACCCAGCAGAAUGGAAUGAUGAACCUUUAGGUGCAGUUAUCAUAUGAUAUAGUCCUUCUAUCAUGGAUCCCUACAGAACGGAGGUCAUGGAUAACUUGUCAAACCCCGUCGUCUGUCAUAUAUCUAGAUUUAUUCGAUUUAAGUUCGAGAGUGGAAAAAUCUUUCUCCAUUGUACGUACUGUCCCGAUCGAGAUCUUACGAACUCAGUCUUAUAAAUCACAUAGGAUCACUCCUUAUCUAUCAAGGUCAAUAGAUUCUAUGUAGGUGCAUAUGCUACUCCUACAGUGAAACUACUGCAGC
rnacentral:lncRNA from 1 species